AAAUUGAAGAGUUUGAUCAUGGCUCAGAUUGAACGCUGGCGGCAGGCCUAACACAUGCAAGUCGAACGGUAACAGGAAGCAGCUUGCUGCUUCGCUGACGAGUGGCGGACGGGUGAGUAAUGUCUGGGAAACUGCCUGAUGGAGGGGGAUAACUACUGGAAACGGUAGCUAAUACCGCAUAACGUCGCAAGACCAAAGAGGGGGACCUUCGGGCCUCUUGCCAUCGGAUGUGCCCAGAUGGGAUUAGCUAGUAGGUGGGGUAACGGCUCACCUAGGCGACGAUCCCUAGCUGGUCUGAGAGGAUGACCAGCCACACUGGAACUGAGACACGGUCCAGACUCCUACGGGAGGCAGCAGUGGGGAAUAUUGCACAAUGGGCGCAAGCCUGAUGCAGCCAUGCCGCGUGUGUGAAGAAGGCCUUCGGGUUGUAAAGCACUUUCAGCGGGGAGGAAGGCGGUAAGGUUAAUAACCUUGCCGAUUGACGUUACCCGCAGAAGAAGCACCGGCUAACUCCGUGCCAGCAGCCGCGGUAAUACGGAGGGUGCAAGCGUUAAUCGGAAUUACUGGGCGUAAAGCGCACGCAGGCGGUCUGUCAAGUCGGAUGUGAAAUCCCCGGGCUCAACCUGGGAACUGCAUUCGAAACUGGCAGGCUAGAGUCUUGUAGAGGGGGGUAGAAUUCCAGGUGUAGCGGUGAAAUGCGUAGAGAUCUGGAGGAAUACCGGUGGCGAAGGCGGCCCCCUGGACAAAGACUGACGCUCAGGUGCGAAAGCGUGGGGAGCAAACAGGAUUAGAUACCCUGGUAGUCCACGCCGUAAACGAUGUCGACUUGGAGGUUGUGCCCUUGAGGCGUGGCUUCCGGAGCUAACGCGUUAAGUCGACCGCCUGGGGAGUACGGCCGCAAGGUUAAAACUCAAAUGAAUUGACGGGGGCCCGCACAAGCGGUGGAGCAUGUGGUUUAAUUCGAUGCAACGCGAAGAACCUUACCUACUCUUGACAUCCAGAGAACUUAGCAGAGAUGCUUUGGUGCCUUCGGGAACUCUGAGACAGGUGCUGCAUGGCUGUCGUCAGCUCGUGUUGUGAAAUGUUGGGUUAAGUCCCGCAACGAGCGCAACCCUUAUCCUUUGUUGCCAGCGGUUAGGCCGGGAACUCAAAGGAGACUGCCAGUGAUAAACUGGAGGAAGGUGGGGAUGACGUCAAGUCAUCAUGGCCCUUACGAGUAGGGCUACACACGUGCUACAAUGGCGCAUACAAAGAGAAGCGACCUCGCGAGAGCAAGCGGACCUCAUAAAGUGCGUCGUAGUCCGGAUUGGAGUCUGCAACUCGACUCCAUGAAGUCGGAAUCGCUAGUAAUCGUAGAUCAGAAUGCUACGGUGAAUACGUUCCCGGGCCUUGUACACACCGCCCGUCACACCAUGGGAGUGGGUUGCAAAAGAAGUAGGUAGCUUAACCUUCGGGAGGGCGCUUACCACUUUGUGAUUCAUGACUGGGGUGAAGUCGUAACAAGGUAACCGUAGGGGAACCUGCGGUUGGAUCACCUCCUUACCUUAAAGAA
rnacentral:rRNA from 1 species